rnacentral:tRNA from 1 species
GUGAGGAUAGCUCAGUGGUAGAGCGUGUGCUUAGCAUGCACAAGGUCCUGGGUUCAGUCUCCAGUCCCUCCC